rnacentral:rRNA from 1 species
UACGUAGGGUGCGAGCGUUGUCCGGAAUUAUUGGGCGUAAAGAGCUCGUAGGCGGUGUGUCGCGUCGGCCGUGAAAAACCUGGGGCUCAACUCUGGGCGUGCGGUCGAUACGGGCAUCACUUGAGUUCGGCAGGGGAGACUGGAAUUCCUGGUGUAGCGGUGAAAUGCGCAGAUAUCAGGAGGAACACCGGUGGCGAAGGGCGGGUCUCUGGGCCGAUACUGACGCUGAGGAGCGAAAGCAUGGGUAGCGAACAGG